rnacentral:sRNA from 1 species
UUUUAGCCCCGAUUGAAGCAAUUGUUUGAGCUCUUUUUUUUGAUUUUUUUCAAAAAAAGAGCGAGUGCGGAAAGCGGGAAAUAGC